rnacentral:rRNA from 1 species
CUGGCGGCGUGCCUAAUACAUGCAAGUCGAACGGUCUUUCUAUGGAAGCUUGCUUCCACUGAGAAGAUAGUGGCGAACGGGGUGAGUAACACGUGGGUAACCUGCCCAUAAGAGGGGGAUAACAUCCGGAAACGGGUGCUAAUACCGCAUAGUUUUCUUGAUCGCAUGAUUGAGAAAGGAAAGACGGCCUUUGUGCUGUCGCUUAUGGAUGGACCCGCGGCGUAUUAGUUAGUUGGUGAGGUAACGGCUCACCAAGACGAUGAUACGUAGCCGACCUGAGAGGGUGAUCGGCCACAUUGGGACUGAGACACGGCCCAAACUCCUACGGGAGGCAGCAGUAGGGAAUCUUCCGCAAUGGACGAAAGUCUGACGGAGCAACGCCGCGUGAGUGAAGAAAGGUUUUCGGAUCGUAAAACUCUGUUGUCAGAGAAGAACAAGUUGGAGAGUAACUGCUCCAGCCUUGACGGUAUCUGACCAGAAAGCCACGGCUAACUACGUGCCAGCCGCCGC